GCUAUGUGUGGCAGGGAUAAACGCUGAAAGCAUCUAAGCGUGAAGCCCCCCUCAAGAUGAGAUUUCCCAUUUCUUCGGAAAGUAAGAUCCCUGAAAGAUGAUCAGGUAGAUAGGUUUGGAGUGGAAGUGUAGCGAUACAUGGAGCGGACAAAUACUAAUCGAUCGAGGACUUAACCAAAA
rnacentral:rRNA from 1 species